rnacentral:rRNA from 1 species
UACGUAGGGGGCAAGCGUUGUCCGGAUUUAUUGGGCGUAAAGAGCGUGUAGGCGGUUUGGUAGGUCCGUUGUGAAAACUGGAGGCUCAACCUUCAGAGGUCGACCGAAACCAUCUGGCUAGAGUCCGGGAGAGGAGAGUGGAAUUCCUGGUGUAGCGGUGAAAUGCGCAGAUAUCAGGAAGAACACCCGUGGCGAAAGCGGCUCUCUGGAACGGUACUGACGCUGAGACGCGAAAGCGUGGGGAGCGAACAGG